GGAAGUAGCUCAGCUUGGUAGAGCACUUGGUUUGGGACCAAGGGGUCGCAGGUUCGAAUCCUGUCUUCC
rnacentral:tRNA from 3 species